AGCAGCCGCGGUAAUUCCAGCUCCAAUAGCGUAUAUUAAAGUUGUUGCAGUUAAAAAGCUCGUAGUUGAAUUUCGGGGUUAGUAGGUUGGUCAUGCCUCUGGUAUGUACUGGUCUCACUGAUUCCUCCUUCCUGAUGAGCCGUAAUGCCAUUAAUUUGGUGUUGCGGGGAAUUUGGACUGUUACUUUGAAAAAAUUAGAGUGUUUAAAGCAAGCUAACGCUUGAAUACAUUAGCAUGGAAUAAUGAAAUAGGACGUUCGAUCCUAUUUUGUUGGUUUCUAGGAUUGACGUAAUGAUUAAUAGGGAUAGUUGGGGGCAUUAGUAUUCAAUUGUCAGAGGUGAAAUUCUUGGAUUUAUUGAAGACUAACUACUGCGAAAGCAUUUGCCAAGGAUGUUUUCAUUAAUCAAGAACGAAAGUUAGGGGAUCGAAGACGAUCAGAUACCGUCGUAGUCUUAACCAUAAACUAUGCCGAUUAGGGAUCGGAUGAUGUUAAUUUUUAAUGACUCAUUCGGCGCCUUAA
rnacentral:rRNA from 1 species